rnacentral:misc_RNA from 1 species
UCUCCGUUGGUGAACCAGCGGAGGGAUCAUUAUAGAGUGUUAAAACUCCCAAAACCCUGUGAACUUUACCUAUCGUUGCUUCGGCGGAGUCGUCCCGGGUGCGCUGCGAGGCGCGUCCCGGAUCCAGGCGCCCGCCGGGGGACCCAAACUCUUUGUUUUUACAAGUGGUAUCUUCUGAGUGGCAUAAGCAAAUAAUUAAAACUUUCAGCAACGGAUCUCUUGGUUCUG